AGAUUGAACGCUGGCGGCAGGCCUAACACAUGCAAGUCGAGCGGCAGCACGGGUACUUGUACCUGGUGGCGAGCGGCGGACGGGUGAGUAAUGCCUAGGAAUCUGCCUGGUAGUGGGGGAUAACGCUCGGAAACGGACGCUAAUACCGCAUACGUCCUACGGGAGAAAGCAGGGGACCUUCGGGCCUUGCGCUAUCAGAUGAGCCUAGGUCGGAUUAGCUAGUUGGUGAGGUAAUGGCUCACCAAGGCGACGAUCCGUAACUGGUCUGAGAGGAUGAUCAGUCACACUGGAACUGAGACACGGUCCAGACUCCUACGGGAGGCAGCAGUGGGGAAUAUUGGACAAUGGGCGAAAGCCUGAUCCAGCCAUGCCGCGUGUGUGAAGAAGGUCUUCGGAUUGUAAAGCACUUUAAGUUGGAGGAAGGACAGUUACCUAAUACGUAUCUGUUUUGACGUUACCGACUAGAAUAAGCACCGGCUAACUCUGUG
rnacentral:rRNA from 1 species